AUGAACGCUAGCGGCAGGCUUAACACAUGCAAGUCGAGGGGGUAGAAGGGAGCUUGCUCCUUUGAGACCGGCGCACGGGUGCGUAACGCGUAUGCAAUCUACCUUUUGCAGAGGGAUAGCCCAGAGAAAUUUGGAUUAAUACCUCAUAGUAUGUGAGGAUGGCAUCAUUUUCACAUUAAAGUCACAACGGCAAAAGAUGAGCAUGCGUCCCAUUAGCUAGUUGGUAAGGUAACGGCUUACCAAGGCUACGAUGGGUAGGGGGUCCUGGGAGGGAGAUCCCCCACACUGGUACUGAGACACGGACCAGACUCCUACGGGAGGCAGCAGUGAGGAAUAUUGGACAAUGGGCGCAAGCCUGAUCCAGCCAUGCCGCGUGCAGGAUGACGGUCCUAUGGAUUGUAAACUGCUUUUGUACAGGAAGAAACACUACUUCGUGAAGUAGCUUGACGGUACUGUAAGAAUAAGGAUCGGCUAACUCCGUG
rnacentral:rRNA from 1 species